CCCAGACUCCUACGGGAGGCAGCAGUGGGGAAUAUUGGGCAAUGGGCGCAAGCCUGACCCAGCAACGCCGCGUGAAGGAAGAAGGCUUUCGGGUUGUAAACUUCUUUUAAGAGGGAAGAGCAGAAGACGGUACCUCUUGAAUAAGCCACGGCUAACUACGUGCCAGCAGCCGCGGUAAUACGUAGGGGGCAAGCGUUAUCCGGAUUUACUGGGUGUAAAGGGGGCGCAGACGACAAUGCAAGCCAGGAGUGAAAGCCCGGGGCCCAACCCCGGGACUGCUCUUGGAACUGCAUGGCUGGAGUACAGGAGGGGCAGGCGGAAUUCCUAGUGUAGCGGUGAAAUGCGUAGAUAUUAGGAGGAACACCGGUGGCGAAGGCGGCCUGCUGGACUGUGACUGACGUUGAGGCCCGAAGGCGUGGGGAGCAAACAGGAUUAGAUACCCGAUUAC
rnacentral:rRNA from 1 species